rnacentral:rRNA from 1 species
UACGUAGGGCGCAAGCGCUAUCCGGAAUUAUUGGGCGUAAAGAGCUCGUAGGCGGUUUGUCGCGUCUGCCGUGAAAGUCCGGGGCUCAACUCCGGAUCUGCGGUGGGUACGGGCAGACUAGAGUGCAGUAGGGGAGACUGGAAUUCCUGGUGUAGCGGUGAAAUGCGCAGAUAUCAGGAGGAACACCGAUGGCGAAGGCAGGUCUCUGGGCUGUAACUGACGCUGAGGAGCGAAAGCGUGGGGAGCAAACAGG